AUCUCUGAGCGUCCGACUACAAGUCAGUCGGUGUCUGUUCGCGCACCAUGGAUAACCUUCCGCGCCGCGGGCCUACGGGUUUCAGAAGACGUCACCUAGUGACAGUCCUCGCGUUCCUUGGGAUCUUCAUCAUGGACAAUCUCAGGUGGUCCUUCGUCAACGCUAUUGAUCCCAUGACAACUCCCUACAAAGUUACCCUAGACAACGGAACAGUUGUGGAGAAAAGAAACCUCGACUUUGAAAUGCAGGUGGUAUCACAUGUCGUGAGCUCCUCCUUCUACGGAUAUGUCGCCUCUCAGAUUCUAGGAGGGUGGCUAGGUGCCUGUCUGGGUGGCAGUGGAGUGUUCGGUGCGGGGGUGGCCUUCACAGCACUGUUUUCUCUUGUUAUGCCUAUUGUGGUCCAUGGAGGCACGGCCAACUGGGUGAUAGCCAGCAGAGUCAUUCAGGGUCUCUUUAUGGGUGUCACAUAUCCGAGUAUUAUCGCCGUCUGGUCUCGAUGGGCGCCUCCCCAGGAGCGGGCUCGCCUGGUUACCAUCGCCUUCUCGGGCAGCUAUUUUAGUAUCGUAGUCAACCCCCCAGUUUGCCGCCUAAUCGCCAAUACCCUAGGUUGGACGAUUAUCUUUCACAUUACAGGUAUACUCGGGUUUAUAUGGUUUGCUGUUUGGUGGACUGUGGUGAAGGACAAACCGGAAGACGACCCUCACAUCUCCACAGAGGAACUAAAGUACCUUAGAGAUAAUCUUGAUUGUGGACCUAAUGACUCUAUUCCUAAACAUAUUAUCUAUCCUUGGGACAAGUUCGUCACGUCGAUGCCUGUAUGGGCCAUAGUUGUGGCUCACACCUGCGUGAGCUAUGGCUUCAUUUCACUGUCCAUUGUGUUGCCGAUGUAUAUGAGAGAUACAUACAACUACCGGUUAGAUAGAACCGGAUUCUUGUCGUCCCUGCCUUAUCUACUGAUAGCUGUCCUGAUGCCGGUCGCUGGAACAUUGGCUGACUGGUUGAGGAACACAGAAGUGCUCACUACCACACAAGUGCGGAAAACUUUCAUCUGUAGUACCUUCAUAAGUCAGGCGAUACUGAUUUUGCUUGCACGAAACUUAAACUCCGUCAACGGUACGUUAGUGUGUCUGAUACUGGCCUUAGGGCUGUCAGCGUUCGCCUGGGCUGCCUUCAGUGUAAAUCACCUGGACAUAGCACCUCAGCAUGCCAGUGUUCUAAUGGGAUUUUCCAAUACAUUUGCAAGCAUUCUAGCCUUUCUGAGUCCUAGCGUUAUUAUCUACUUCAUAAGAGAUGGGUGCAGGUAUUCUUCCAUUGUGUAGAAGAGUCUGGGAGUAAGCCAUUCAUUCAGAAGUUUCUUUAGCUUUUUUCUCGUGCGAAUCUUCAUUUCUGGCAGUAGUAGGUUGAACAGCUUCUGGCUUGCAUAUGAAUGUUUCUUUUGGGACAGCUGGAGAUGGUGUGUUGUUAGAUGGUAGUCUGCAGCAUGUCUAGUGCGGUAGUCAUGGAGGUCAGCUGUUUGGGUGGCAGUACACUUUCUACACAAUCAUCGCUGUCCAUCUCUUUGCGGCACUCUUCUACUGGGCAUUCGCCUCAGGAGAGAGACAGCGCUGGGCUCCCCCUGCACCUACCCCGGAACCAGAGAGUAUACCACUCCAACAACGAAGCCAUGUCAUCUGAUUCUGUAUGAGGAAUUGUAAUUAAACUUUUGUUAUGUUUUUUACUGA
rnacentral:misc_RNA from 1 species